AGUGAACGCUGGCGGCGUGCUUAACACAUGCAAGUCGAACGAUGAAGCCCAGCUUGCUGGGUGGAUUAGUGGCGAACGGGUGAGUAACACGUGAGUAACCUGCCCUUAACUCUGGGAUAAGCCUGGGAAACUGGGUCUAAUACCGGAUAGGAGCGUCCACCGCAUGGUGGGUGUUGGAAAGAUUUAUCGGUUUUGGAUGGACUCGCGGCCUAUCAGCUUGUUGGUGAGGUAAUGGCUCACCAAGGCGACGACGGGUAGCCGGCCUGAGAGGGUGACCGGCCACACUGGGACUGAGACACGGCGCAGACUCCUACGGGAGGCAGCAGUGAGGAAUAUUGCACAAUGGGCGAAAGCCUGAUGCAGCGACGCCGCGUGAGGGAUGACGGCCUUCGGGUUGUAAACUUCUUUCAGUAGGGAAGAAGCGAAAGUGACGGUACCUGCAGAAGAAGCACCGGCUAACUACGUGCCAGCCGCCGCGGUAAUAC
rnacentral:rRNA from 1 species